CUGCUGCCCUGGAGCCUAUCAUGUGAGCCCAGGAUAGGGUGCAGGAGUCCCAGCAUUUAAGAGACAGGCAAAAAGCAGCCCUUGCUGAUUUCCUGCUCUGGCCUGUUUCUAUCUGGUCCUUUGCCAUCCCCUAGUACCCCAAACACAACUGAGGAGCAGUGAAAGAUGUGGAGCAUCUGACCCUGGCUGCCAGUCCCUGAGAAAAGCCUCUCAUGGGAUAAGAC